rnacentral:lncRNA from 1 species
GGUACAACAGUUGGGUUGGAGCCAUGGCCGAUCUAAUCGAAGAAGAUGAUGUAAUGGUUAAUAUCACUCUGCAAAUGAUCGGCCCUUCUCCUCGUUCUCGCCUUACACUCCCCUCUCCAAUCAAAGUAUUUCUUCUGAUUCCACCUAUUCAAUUCCGGAUUUUCUCUCUCUCUCUCUCUCUCUCUCUCUCUCUCUCUCUCUCUCUCUCUCUCUCUCUCUCUCUCUCUCUCUACAC